rnacentral:rRNA from 1 species
AGUGAACGCUGGCGGUAGGCCUAACACAUGCAAGUCGAACGGCAGCACAGUAAGAGCUUGCUCUUACGGGUGGCGAGUGGCGGACGGGUGAGGAAUACAUCGGAAUCUACUUUUUCGUGGGGGAUAACGUAGGGAAACUUACGCUAAUACCGCAUACGACCUACGGGUGAAAGGAGGGGAUCUUCGGACCUUGCGCGAUUGAAUGAGCCGAUGUCGGAUUAGCUAGUUGGCGGGGUAAAGGCCCACCAAGGCGACGAUCCGUAGCUGGUCUGAGAGGAUGAUCACCCACACUGGAACUGAGACACGGUCCAGACUCCUACGGGAGGCAGCAGUGGGGAAUAUUGGACAAUGGGCGCAAGCCUGAUCCAGCCAUCCCGCGUGGGUGAAGAAGGCCUUCGGGUUGUAAAGCCCUUUUGUUGGGAAAGAAAAGCAGCAGGUUAAUACCCCGCUGUUCUGACGGUACCCAAAGAAUAAGCACCGGCUAACUUCGUG